ACUGAAGAUGUUCCUCGGAAGCUGCUGAGCCAUGGCAAAGAGCCCUUCAGUCAGCAUGUGAGAAAGCUGCAUGCCACUAUCACUCCAGGGACUGUCCUGAUCAUCCUCACCAGGUGCCACAGAGGCAAGAGGGUGGUUUUCCUGAAACAGCUGGGCAACAGCUUGCUACUUGUGGCAGGACCUCUUGCCCUCAACAGAGUUCCUCUUCAAAGAACACACCAGAAAUUUGUCAUCGCCACCUCUACAAAAGUUGAUAUCAGCAAGGUUAAAGUCCCCAAACACCUGACUGAUGCUUACUUCAAGAAGCAGCAGCUGCAUAAGCCCAGGCACCGGGAGGGCGAGAUCUUCGACACAAAGAAGGAAAAAGAGAUUACAGAGCAAUGCAAGGCCCAUCAGAAAACCAUGGACUCGUAGCUUUUGCCAAAGAUCAAAGCUGUUCCUUAACUCCACGAUUACCUAAGGUCUCAGUUCUCUCCGACAAACAGGAUGUAUCCUCACAAACUGGUUUUCUAA